UUCCGGUUGAUCCUGCCGGAGGCCAUUGCUAUCGGAGUCCGAUUUAGCCAUGCUAGUCGCACGGGUUUAGACCCGUGGCAAAUAGCUCAGUGACACGUGGUCAAACUGCCCUAUGGAUGAAGAUAACCUCGGGAAACUGAGGCUAAUCUUCAAUACAGCUCUCGUGCUGGAGUUGCAGAGAGCUGGAAACGCUCCGGCGCCAUAGGAUGUGACUGCGGCCGAUUAGGUAGACGGUGGGGUAACGGCCCACCGUGCCGAUAAUCGGUACGGGUUGUGAGAGCAAGAACCCGGAGACGGAAUCUGAGACAAGAUUCCGGGCCCUACGGGGCGCAGCAGGCGCGAAACCUUUACACUGCACGACAGUGCGAUAGGGGGACUCCGAGUGCGAGGGCAUAUAGUCCUCGCUUUUCUGUACCGUAAGGUGGUACAGGAACAAGUGCUGGGCAAGACCGGUGCCAGCCGCCGCGGU
rnacentral:rRNA from 1 species